CACUAAACAUCGCGUCUCCUCGUGUAAUUCUCAAAAGGAUCAAAAUUACGGCAGUAAAUAGAGAGGGAAGUGGAUAUGACAAGUAAUUCUUGCAGUAAUUGAAUUGGCGUGCGCGAGUGCGCGCCGCAGCAAUUUCAUAUCUCGCAGGGGAGUUGAUGGAGGACUGGCGAGAGAUUAUAUAAUUUACCGGCAUUGUGUAUUACUGGGUAAUUUACAGAGAGCAGUGAGGAGGAAACCUACGCUGAGGACAUUUUAAAAUAAGUGGAAGUCGAAGACUUUCGCUGUGUUUAUGAACGUAAGUUACCUGUAUGUGACCAGUCACGCGAUUAUUGAGGUAAUGACUUUAAGGCAGUUUUACUAAUUAGUUUACUAAUUAAGGUCUAAUGGUUAUACUGUUUAUUGUGCGAUACAUUUAUCUUCAUCUGGUAGUCAUUUGGAGGCGGUUAAUUAGUCGCUGCCUCUGCUCUUCCCGCGCUGUGCUGCAGAAGCGCGGGAACCCUGAGGACUAAACUCUUAUUUCCAUGUCGACGCGACGACCAGAGUCCAGCACUCACCACUACAGGAAGGUCGAUGAAGAAGUGAGGGCAAUUAAAGCGAGGCACACUGCUUAUUUUAGCACUAGGUCGCUCUCACAGCUGUGACUCCAGACAUCAAGAGAAACAGCUGGAACAUUCCGAACGGUCCGUGAACUCGGAACACGCGCCUCCCAGCAGAGUCUCAGGAAGUUGGAAUUACAACAGGCAUCUGGAACAAUCUUCCACAGAUCAUUAUACAGAGACCUGCCAAGUGAGAACAAGAAGAGGGGGUGUGAAAAGGCUGAAAAUGAGCCACAGUACAAUGCUCAGGCUUGAUUUGAACAAUAAAUCACAGACAAUCG